rnacentral:rRNA from 1 species
UACGUAGGAGGCAAGCGUUGUCCGGAAUUACUGGGUGUAAAGCGCGUGUAGGCGGCAGGCCAAGUCUGUGGUGAAAUCCCUUGGCUUAACUGAGGAAUGGCGCUCGAAACUACCUCGCUGGAGGGCGGGAGAGGGAAGUGGAACUCUCGGUGUAGGGGUGAAAUCUGUAGAUAUCGAGAGGAACACCGGUGGCGAAGGCGGCUUCCUGGCCCGUACCUGACGCUGAGGCGCGAAAGCGUGGGGAGCAAACAGG